UAGGGAAUCUUCGGCAAUGGACGAAAGUCUGACCCAGCAACGCCGCGUUAGUGAAGAAGGUUUUCGGAUCGUAAAACUCUGUUGUUAGAGAAGAACAAGGACGUUAGUAACUGAACGUCCCCUGACGGUAUCUAACCAGAAAGCCACGGCUAACUACGUGCCAGCAGCCGCGGUAAUACGUAGGUGGCAAGCGUUGUCCGGAUUUAUUGGGCGUAAAGCGAGCGCAGGCGGUUUCUUAAGUCUGAUGUGAAAGCACCCGGCUCAACCGGGGAGGGUCAUUGGAAACUGGGAGACAUGAGUGCAGAAGAGGAGAGUGGAAUUCCAUGUGUAGCGGUGAAAUGCGUAGAUAUAGGGAGGAACACCAGUGGCGAAGGCGGCUCUCUGGUCUGUAACUGACGCUGAGGCUCGAAAGCGUGGGGAGCAAACAGG
rnacentral:rRNA from 1 species